rnacentral:rRNA from 1 species
AUUGAACGCUGGCGGCAUGCCUUACACAUGCAAGUCGAACGGCAGCAUGGAGAGCUUGCUCUCUGAUGGCGAGUGGCGAACGGGUGAGUAAUGCAUCGGAACGUACCGUGUAAUGGGGGAUAACGUAGCGAAAGUUACGCUAAUACCGCAUACGACCUGAGGGUGAAAGCAGGGGAUCGCAAGACCUUGCGUUAUACGAGCGGCCGAUGUCAGAUUAGCUAGUUGGUGAGGUAAAGGCUCACCAAGGCGACGAUCUGUAGCGGGUCUGAGAGGAUGAUCCGCCACACUGGGACGGCGACACGGCCCAGACUCCUACGGGAGGCAGCAGUGGGGAAUUUUGGACAAUGGGGGCAACCCUGAUCCAGCCAUGCCGCGUGAGGGAGGACGGCCUUCGGGUUGUAAAGCUCUUUUGUCAGGGAAGAAACACCGGCUCUAACACAGUCCGGGAAUGACGGUACCUGAAGAAUAAGCACCGGCUAACUACGUGCCAGCCGCCGCAGUAA